rnacentral:lncRNA from 1 species
AUCGUGACCCAGUAGGACAGCUCUGUGGCCUAAGGCUAGAUUGGCACAAUGAUGGAAUGGUUUUCAAGAGGCCAAGUAGGACCAGCUGUGGGUUUAUCCCAUUUUACCUAAGGAUUUUACACAAUACAUUGAGUGCAGGAAUGGCACGCAAUGAUUGCACUCAGUAAUAUACCAAACCACUCCUGGCUUUGUUUAGACCCUAGACUUGGGCCCUCAUCCUUCUCGUAGACCUCUUGCGAGGAUUUUCCCCUUUUACAGAUUCACACUCAGUCCCGAACAGAAACACUUGAGCACCUACAAUCUCACAGCCAACUCCCUGCCAACGUCCAGUGACUCACAGUUAAGAGAGCUUCAGCAGCAGCUCUGACCAAAGUGAUGACCAACUACUUAACAUGAAUUAGAAACAGAGCAGAAAAAACACGCCUUUAGCCUGCUCUGCGUAAAGAACCAAGUCUCCACCAUGAACACCAAGC